rnacentral:rRNA from 1 species
AAAUUGAAGAGUUUGAUCAUGGCUCAGAUUGAACGCUGGCGGCAGGCCUAACACAUGCAAGUCGAACGGUAACAGGAAGCAGCUUGCUGCUUCGCUGACGAGUGGCGGACGGGUGAGUAAUGUCUGGGAAACUGCCUGAUGGAGGGGGAUAACUACUGGAAACGGUGGCUAAUACCGCAUAACGUCGCAAGACCAAAGAGGGGGACCUUCGGGCCUCUUGCCAUCAGAUGUGCCCAGAUGGGAUUAGCUUGUUGGUGAGGUAACGGCUCACCAAGGCGACGAUCCCUAGCUGGUCUGAGAGGAUGACCAGCCACACUGGAACUGAGACACGGUCCAGACUCCUACGGGAGGCAGCAGUGGGGAAUAUUGCACAAUGGGCGCAAGCCUGAUGCAGCCAUGCCGCGUGUAUGAAGAAGGCCUUCGGGUUGUAAAGUACUUUCAGCGGGGAGGAAGGUGUUGCGGUUAAUAACCGCAGCAAUUGACGUUACCCGCAGAAGAAGCACCGGCUAACUCCGUGCCAGCAGCCGCGGUAAUACGGAGGGUGCAAGCGUUAAUCGGAAUUACUGGGCGUAAAGCGCACGCA